GAUGAAGAACGCAGCAAAAUGCGAUAAGUAAUGUGAAUUGCAGAAUUCAGUGAAUCAUCGAAUCUUUGAACGCACAUUGCGCCCGCCAGUAUUCUGGCGGGCAUGCCUGUUCGAGCGUCAUUUCAACCCUCAAGCCCUCGGGUUUGGUGUUGGGGAUCGGCGAGCCUUUCUGGCAAGCCGGCCCCGAAAUCUAGUGGCGAUCUCGCUGCAGCCUCCAUUGCGUAGUAGUAAAACCCUCGCAACUGGAACGCGGCGCGGCCAAGCCGUUAAACCCCCAACUUCUGAAUGUUGACCUCGGAUCAGGUAGGAAUACCCGCUGAACUUAAGCAUAUCAAUAAGCGGAGGA
rnacentral:misc_RNA from 1 species